rnacentral:piRNA from 1 species
UUUAGUUUUAAGGUAUUUGUU